rnacentral:rRNA from 1 species
GAUGAACGCUGGCGGCGUGCCUAAUACAUGCGAGUCGAGCGAACGGACGAGAAGCUUGCUUCUCUGAUGUUAGCGGCGGACGGGUGAGUAACACGUGGAUAACCUACCUAUAAGACUGGGAUAACUUCGGGAAACCGUAGCUAAUACCGGAUAAUAUUUUGAACCGCAUGGUUCAAAAGUGUAAGACGGUCUUGCUGUCACUUAUAGAUGGAUCCGCGCUGCAUUAGCUAGUUGGUAAGGUAACGGCUUACCAAGGCAACGAUGCAUAGCCGACCUGAGAGGGUGAUCGGCCACACUGGAACUGAGACACGGUCCAGACUCCUACGGGAGGCAGCAGUAGGGAAUCUUCCGCAAUGGGCGAAAGCCUGACGGAGCAACGCCGCGUGAGUGAUGAAGGUCUUCGGAUCGUAAAACUCUGUUAUUAGGGAAGAACAUAUGUGUAAGUAACUGUGCACAUCUUGACGGUACCUAAUCAGAAAGCCACGGCUAACUACGUG